UGGGGAAUAUUGGACAAUGGGCGAAAGCCUGAUCCAGCCAUGCCGCGUGUGUGAAGAAGGUCUUCGGAUUGUAAAGCACUUUAAGUUGGGAGGAAGGGCAUUAACCUAAUACGUUAGUGUUUUGACGUUACCGACAGAAUAAGCACCGGCUAACUCUGUGCCAGCAGCCGCGGUAAUACAGAGGGUGCAAGCGUUAAUCGGCAUUACUGGGCGUAAAGCGCGCGUAGGUGGUUUGUUAAGUUGGAUGUGAAAUCCCCGGGCUCAACCUGGGAACUGCAUUCAAAACUGACUGACUAGAGUAUGGUAGAGGGUGGUGAAAUUUCCUGUGUAGCGGUGAAAUGCGUAGAUAUAGGAAGGAACACCAGUGGCGAAGGCGACCACCUGGACUAAUACUGACACUGAGGUGCGAAAGCGUGGGGAGCAAACA
rnacentral:rRNA from 1 species